rnacentral:rRNA from 1 species
CAUCUUUUUAUUUUUAAAAGACCUUUUUCGGAAGGUAUGCUUAAAGAGGGGCUUGCGUCACAUUAGUUAGUUGGCAGGGUAAAGGCCUACCAAGACUAUGAUGUGUAGCUGGACUGAGAGGUUGAACAGCCACAUUGGGACUGAGACACGGCCCAAACUCCUACGGGAGGCAGCAGUAGGGAAUUUUCGGCAAUGGAGGAAACUCUGACCGAGCAACGCCGCGUGAACGAUGAAGUAUUUCGGUAUGUAAAGUUCUUUUAUUGAAGAAGAAAAAAUAGUGGAAAAACUAUCUUGACGAUAUUCAAUGAAUAAGCCCCGGCAAACUAUGUGCCAGCAGCCGCGGUAAUACAUAGGGGGCGAGCGUUAUCCGGAAUUAUUGGGCGUAAAGGGUGCGUAGGCGGUUUAAUAAGUCUAUAGUUUAAUUUCAGUGCUUAACACUGUCCUGCUAUAGAAACUAUUAGACUAGAGUGAGAUAGAGGCAAGUGGAAUUCCAUGUGUAGCGGUAAAAUGCGUAAAUAUAUGGAGGAACACCAGAGGCGUAGGCGGCUUGCUGGGUCUUUACUGACGCUGAGGCACGAAAGCGUGGGGAGCAAACAGGAUUAGAUACCCUGGUAGUCCACGCCGUAAACGAUGAGUACUAAGUGUCGGGAUUACUCGGUACUGAAGUUAACACAUUAAGUACUCCGCCUGAGUAGUACGUACGCAAGUAUGAAACUUAAAGGAAUUGACGGGACUCCGCACAAGCGGUGGAUCAUGUUGUUUAAUUCGAAGAUACACGAAAAACCUUACCAGGUCUUGACAUACUCUGCAAAGCUAUAGCAAUAUAGUGGAGGUUAUCAGGGAUACAGGUGGUGCAUGGUUGUCGUCAGCUCGUGUCGUGAGAUGUUAGGUUAAGUCCUAAAACGAGCGCAACCCUUGUCAUUAGUUGCCAGCAUGUCAUGAUGGGCACUUUAAUGAGACUGCCAAUGAAAAAUUGGAGGAAGGUGAGGAUCACGUCAAAUCAUCAUGCCCCUUAUGAUCUGGGCUACAAACGUGAUACAAUGGCUGUUACAAAGAGUAGCUGAAACGCAAGUUUAUAGCCAAUCUCAUAAAAGCAGUCUCAGUUCGGAUUGAAGUCUGCAACUCGACUUCAUGAAGUUGGAAUCGCUAGUAAUCGCGAAUCAGCAUGUCGCGG